UUAUAAAAGACUUUGCCGAAGACAGCAGGUGCCCUUUGGGGCGUAAGAGAAUCGCCUGCCGAGGAAAGAAAGAGUAUGGUUAUGACUUUUUGCCUUCCGGUCUUCCGGGAGGCCUUUUUAAU
rnacentral:sRNA from 1 species